AUGAAUGAAGAAAAAAGAAGCAACGAGAGCAGCGGCAACCCAGGUAACAUGGGAAACCCAGCAAAACCAGAUGAUAACAACAAGCCCAAAAAGCCAAGUAAAAUUGACAAACCCACCAGUCAGGAAAGUAACGAGAGCCACGAAAACCCAGGUAACAAGGGAAACCCCACCAAUCCAGAUGAUAACAACCAGCCCAAAAAGCCAAGGACAAAUGACAAACCCACCAGUCAGGAAAGCAACGAGAGCAGCGGCAACCCAGGUAACAAGGGAAACCCAACAAAACCAGAUGAUAACAACCAGCCCAAAAAGCCAUGUAAAAAUGACAAACCCACCAGUCAGGAAAGCAACGAGAGCCAAGAAAACCCAGGUAACAAGGGAGACUCCACCAAACCAGAUGAUAACAACCAGCCCAAAAAACCAAGUAAAAAUGACAAACCCAACAGUCAGGAAAGCAACGAGAGCCAAGAAAACCCAGGUAACAAGGGAGACUCCACCAAACCAGAUGAUAACAACCAGCCCAAAAAACCAAGUCAAAAUGACAAACCUACCAGUCAGGAAAGCAACGAGAGCCAAGAAAACCCAGGUAACAAGGGAAAACCCGCCAAAAAGGAUGAUAACAACAAACCCCAAAAACCAAGUCAAAAUGACAAACCCAACAGUCAGGAAAGCAACGAGAGCCACGAAAACCCAGGUAACAAGGGAGACUCCACCAAACCAGAUGAUAACAACCAGCCCAAAAAAACAGGUCAAAAUGACAAACCCACCAGUCAGGAAAGCAACGAGAGCCAAGAAAACCAAGGUAACAAUGGAGACUCCACCAAACCAGAUGAUAACAACAAACCCCAAAAACCGAGUAAAAAUAACCAACCCACCAGUCAGGAAAGCAACGAGAGCCAAGAAAACCCAGGUAACAAUGGAGACUCCACCAAACCAGAUGAUAACAACAAACCCAAAAAACCGAGUAAAAAUGACAAACCCACCAGUCAGGAAAGCAACGAGAGCCAAGAAAACCCAGGUAACAAGGGAGACUCCACCAAACCAGAUGAUAACAACAAACCCCAAAAACCGAGUAAAAAUGACAAACCCACCAGUCAGGAAAGCAACGAGAGCCAAGAAAACCCAGGUAACAAUGGAGACUCCACCAAACCAGAUGAUAACAACAAACCCAAAAAAACGAGUAAAAAUGACAAACCCACCAGUCAGGAAAGCAACGAGAGCCAAGAAAACCCAGGUAAAAAUGGAGACUCCACCAAACCAGAUGAUAACAACAAACCCCAAAAACCAAGUCAAAAUGACAAACCCACCAGUCAGGAAAGCAACGAGAGCCAAGAAAACCCAGGUAACAAGGGAGACUCCACCAAACCAGAUGAUAACAACCAGCCCAAAAAACCAAGUCAAAAUGACAAAUCCACCAGUCAGGAAAGCAACGAGAGCCAAGAAAACCCAGGUAAAAAUGGAGACUCCACCAAACCAGAUGAUAACAACAAAUCCCAAAAACCAAGUCACAAUGACAAACCCACCAGUCAGGAAAGCAACGAGAGCCAAGAAAACCCAGGUAACAAGGGAGACUCCACCAAACCAGAUGAUAACCAGCCGAAAAAACCAAGUCAAAAUGACAAACCCACCAGUCAGGAAAGCAACGAGAGCCAUGAAAACCCAGAUACAAACCCACCAAUCCAGAUCACUACAACAGAACCACAAACACAGAUAACAGUGACAAACCCACCGAUCUGGGAAACGACCACAACCCUGGUAUCUCAGGUAACAAAGAAAAACCCACCAAACCCAAUCACAACCACAGAUCCACAAACACAGGAAACAGUGACAUACCCACCAAUCCCGGAAACGACCACAACCCUGGUAUCUCAGGUAACAAAGAAAAACCCACCAAACCCAAUCACAACCACAGAUCCACAAACACAGGAAACAGUGACAUACCCACCAAUCCCGGAAACGACCACAACCCUGGUAUCUCAGGUAACAAAGAAAAACCCACCAAACCCAAUCACAACAACACAACCACAAACACAGGAAACAGAGACAAACCCACCAAUCCAGAUCACAACCACAGAACCACAAACACAGGAAACAGAGACAAACCCACCAAUCCAGAUCACAACCACAGAACCACAAACACAGGAAACAGAGACAAACCCACCAAUCCAGAUCACAACCACAGAACCACAAACACAGGAAACAGAGACAAACCUACCAAUCCAGAUCACAACAACACAACCACAAACACAGGAAACAGAGACAAACCCACCAAUCCAGAUCACAACCACAGAACCACAAACACAGGAAACAGAGACAAACCCACCAAUCCAGAUCACAACAACACAACCACAAACACAGGAAACAGAGACAAACCCACCAAUCCAGAUCACAACCACAGAACCACAAACACAGGAAACAGAGACAAACCCACCAAUCCAGAUCACAACCACAGAACCACAAACACAGGAAACAGAGACAAACCCACCAAUCCAGAUGAUCACAACCACAGAACCACAAACACAGGAAACAGAGACAAACCCACCAACCCAGAUCACAACAACACAACCACAAACACAGGAAACAGAGACAAACCCACCAAUCCAGAUCACAACAACACAACCACAAACACAGGAAACAGAGACAAACCCACCAAUCCAGAUCACAACCACAGAACCACAAACACAGGAAACAGAGACAAACCCACCAAUCCAGAUCACAACAACACAACCACAAACACAGGAAACAGAGACAAACCCACCAAUCCAGAUCACAACAACACAACCACAAACACAGGAAACAGAGACAAACCCACCAAACCAGAUCACAACAACACAACCACAAACACAGGAAACAGAGACAAACCCACCAAUCCCGGAAACGACCACAACCCUGGUAUCUCAGGUAACAACAAAAAAAAAGCCAAGUACAAAUGACAAACCCACCAGUCAGGAAAGCAACGAGAGCCACGGCAAGCCAGAUAACAAUGGAGACUCCACCAAACCACAUGAUAACAACAAACCCGAAAAGCCAUGUCAAAAUGACCAACCCACCAGUCAGGAAAGCAACGAGAGCCAAGAAAACCCAGGGAACAAGGGAAACCCAACCAAACCACAUGAUAACAACAAACCGGGAAAGAACCAGAAGCCCUGUGACAAUCAUAACCCCGGCAACUCAACACCAACAAAACCACAAACAGUGACAAACCCACCAAUCCGGAAUACCACCACAACCCUGGUAUCCCAGGUAACAAAGAAAAACCCACCAAACCAGAUCACAACAACAGAGCCACAAACACAGGAAACAGAGACAAACCCACCAAUCCAGAUCACAACCACAGAACCACAAACACAGGAAACAGAGACAAACCCACCAAUCCAGAUCACAACCACAGAACCACAAACACAGGAAACAGAGACAAACCCACCAAUCCAGAUCACAACCACAGAACCACAAACACAGGAAACAGAGACAAACCUACCAAUCCAGAUCACAACAACACAACCACAAACACAGGAAACAGAGACAAACCCACCAAUCCAGAUCACAACCACAGAACCACAAACACAGGAAACAGAGACAAACCCACCAAUCCAGAUCACAACAACACAACCACAAACACAGGAAACAGAGACAAACCCACCAAUCCAGAUCACAACCACAGAACCACAAACACAGGAAACAGAGACAAACCCACCAAUCCAGAUGAUCACAACCACAGAACCACAAACACAGGAAACAGAGACAAACCCACCAACCCAGAUCACAACAACACAACCACAAACACAGGAAACAGAGACAAACCCACCAAUCCAGAUCACAACCACAGAACCACAAACACAGGAAACAGAGACAAACCCACCAAUCCAGAUCACAACAACACAACCACAAACACAGAUAACAGUAACAAACCCACCAAUCCAGAUCACAACAACACAACCACAAACACAGGAAACAGAGACAAACCCACCAAUCCAGAUCACAACAACACAACCACAAACACAGGAAACAGAGACAAACCCACCAAUCCAGAUCACAACAACACAACCACAAACACAGGAAACAGAGACAAACCCACCAAACCAGAUCACAACAACACGACCACAAAAACAGGAAACAGAGACAAACCCACCAAUCCAGAUCACAACAACACAACCACAAACACAGGAAACAGAGACAAACCCACCAAACCAGAUCACAACAACACAACCACAAACACAGGAAACAGAGACAAACCCACCAAUCCCGGAAACGACCACAACCCUGGUAUCUCAGGUAACAACAAAAAAAAAGCCAAGUACAAAUGACAAACCCACCAGUCAGGAAAGCAACGAGAGCCACGGCAACCCAGAUAACAAUGGAGACUCCACCAAACCAUGA
ensembl:lncRNA